GUCAGCUGACGUUGUGAGGUUUCUACAGCGCGCUGGAGGCCCUGUGGGGCGCUCUGGGCGCCCACUGCCCUGGCAACCAUGACGCCUUGCACUCUCCGGAUGGUGGAUUCCCAGAAACUAACCCCAAAGCUAGAGUCAGAGCCCAAAGUUCAAUUCGACGGACUUCUUGACCUAAGGCAGUAAAUAUCGGAUGUGCUGCUCAUCCAAGUAAAGUAAAAGUUCAAAGUGCCCUAGUUCGGAUUCCGCGUGGAGCAGGAGGCCCCAGAGAGGCUUAGAUUUGUCACUUCAGCAGCAUCGUGUAGGAAGAUGAGUCUGGACCAGAAGACUUAGUGCCAGGGGUAACCUAACUUUUUGAGCCUCAAUUUCUUCUCGAGAUCUUUCCAAAGGCAUGUAAAUAUAUUAUUUCUUCCUUCCUAAGAAAACCUUUUCUUGACUCUACUUCUCCCUCCAGCUCCCGCCUCAUCUCUUUUUCUGAAUAUCAAAGCUCCUCGAGCGCCUGUAGUCGUCGUCUGCAGCUCUCUCAUCCCACUCUUUGUUGAACGCUCUCCCACACACUCUCAGUUUCUUCCCAGUCGUCGUCUUACCUGCUCGAUCAGCAACAUUGGGAAUGGUUUAUCACCCUCUCCUCCACGAAAUACUUUCUGCGUUUGGCUUGCGGGUCCGCACACUUUUGGCUUUCUUCCUCCAUCUCUGACUCCUAUUUCUCCAUCUUAUUUGCUGGUUCUCAUCAUUCCCCUGACGUCUAAAUGUAGCAGUGCCCCCAGGACUGGCUUCUUAGACUUCUCUCUCUUUUCACUUAACAUCUUGGUGAUCUCAUUUAGUUUUAGCUUUAGCUUUAAAGACGAUCUGUAUGCCAGUGAGAACCUGGACUUCUCCCCCAAACCUCCAUACUUAAUAUACUACUACCUAUUUGGCAUCAAAACGUAGAUGCCUAGUAGGCACGUCAAACUCAUCGUGUUCAAAGUGGAACUCCUGAGCUUCUCCACCAAAAGAUAUUCUACCUGUACUUUUCUCAUCUCAAACAAUGCACCUCCAUCCUCCUAACUUCUCAGGUUCCAAACCUUGAGUUCUCCUUCAUCUCCUACCCAAUCUGGCAGCAAACUCUAUUGGCUUUUUCUUCAAAAUAUAUCCAGAGUCCAAACUCCGCUGAAGCCAUCUUAGACCCAGCCCCCAUCACCGCUCACCUGGAUUAUUGUAAUUGCCUCCUAAGUGCUCUUCCACAGUCCUCCUUUAGCUCUCUCCUCCUCAGUCUGUGUUCACAUAACAGCCUGAGUAAUUCUGUUGAAAGUCAUAUUCUCUGUGCAAAACCUUCCACAGACUCUCUCUCUCAGAGUAAAAGCCAGUUUUACCAUGGCCAGAAAUGUCCUGCACCACGAGGCUCCUGGAACCUCGCUGAGCAGCUCUCCUAAUUUUGACUCCCUUCCUCACUUUACUCCAGCCACAAAAGUCGUGUGCCGGGCUUACUUCUGCCUCAGGGACACUGAACUUGCUUUUACUUUUGCAAGGAACUUGUCCUCCAAUACCCCCAGAGCUCCCUCCGUCACCUUCUUCAAGGCUUGGCUCAAACAUUCCUUACUCAAAAAGACCUUCUCUAACCUCCUGAUUUUAAAUUGCAAAUCUGACUCGCCAAGCCCACAUUUCCAUAUGCUCUGUUCCAUUUAUCACCUCUAAUAUACCAUAUAAUUUACUUCUUUGUCUUAUUUGAUGUCUCUCUCCACAUGAAGGCGGCAAUUUUGUCUGUUUUGUCAUUGAUGCUUCCCCAAUUCCUAGACAGGGGCCAGCGUGUGAUAGGUGCAUUACCGCACAAAAUCGGGGUUCUCUGCCUGAUGCACAUAAAAAAGCCAAUUAAUUAUGGCAUCAGCCUUUGGAGGAGAAAUCAGCUUUUAUUCUGCAGGGAGACAGGGGGCGUGCGCCCUUAGAUCUGUCUACCCGAUUCGGGAUUUGGGGUGAAAUUUAAGAGGUUACAGAGAAUAGACUGGCAUGCGGAAACACUGGUGGGACAGAUUUUUGUUGGUGGACUUCAAGCAUUUAUGGUCAGGUGGGGUUUUUUUAACUUUUUUUUUUUUUGAGGAAGAUUAGCCCUGAGCUAACUACUGCCAAUCCUCCUCUAUUUGCUGAGGAAGACCGGCCCUGAGCUAACAUCCACGCCCAUCUUCCUCUACUUUAUACGUGGGACGCCUACCACAGCACGGCUUUUGCCAAGCAGUGCCAUGUCCGCACCCGGUAUCUGAACCUGCGAAUCAGAACGUGUGAACUUAACCGCUGUGCCACCAGGCUGGCCCCUAUGCAAAGACUCAUUGCCUCUUUGGUUGGAAGGAAUCAAGAUGAGCAUUUCAUCCCAAUGGCUAAAGAACAAUGACUAUCCUCUUCGACAUCCUUGACAGAGAGCCAUCUGCCCGUGAUUGGGAAGGUUCCUUCAUAUCAACAAUCAGACAAGACUAUUCUGAGGAAGGAAGAGUAAACAUUAACCCCAGGAAACAGGUAAAGACACUAAAAGAGAAAUUACGUAGCGAUUUAAGUGACAUAGUGAAGCAGUCAUAACUCCGGUCACCUGGCUUCUUGUUGCCAUGCCUGCAAUGUAGUUGUUGAUUUGCACCUUGUAAAUUUAUCACUAAAUUAUGUACAGUUAUGGCCAUUCCUUAUUGUCUGUUCUUACUCAUUCGGACUAAUAAUAAUAGUGACAAUGAUAAUAAAGACUGACGCGUAGCUCUUCUGUAUGCCGGUCGCUGUUCUAAGUGCUUGCCAUGAAUUAGCCCUUGCAUCCUCACAGUGAGCACCUCUGCAGGGUAGCUGCUGUUUUCACCCCAUUUUUCACAGAUGAUGAGAUGGACACAGAAGAGAGUUUAAGUAACCCGCUCAAGGUCCUUUUUGGAAGGGGUAGAGCUGGGCUUCAACUCAAGUAGUCUGGCUCCAUGCAUCAGGCUCCAAAUGGCAACAUUCUGCUGCCUCUGUAAGGAAAUGAGAAUCAAAAAGGAACAGCUAGGGGCCGGCCUGGUGGCGCAGUGGUUAAGUUCGCACGUUCCGCUUUGGCUGCCCGGGGUUCGCCGGUUCAGGUCCCGGGUGCAGAAUGGUACCUCUUGGCAAGCCAUGCUGUGGCAGGCAUCCCACAUAUAAAGUAGAGGAAGAUGAGCAUGGAUGUUAGCUCAGGGACAGUCUGAGGAGGAUUGGCAGCAGAUGUUAGCUCAGGGCUAAUCUUCCUCAAAAAAAUAAAGAAAAAAAAGGAACAGCUAUUGGAAAUUAUUUCUCCUCAAAACUGUGAAACUGCUUUGCAAACGGUGGUCUCAACUACUAUGGAGAAACAAACUAACUCUUUCAUCUCCUGAAUGAACUGUGUGAAAUGGAAGGAGGAGCCCAGUGGAAGAGGGAAGUCAGAGGCACGAACAACCUAUAACUUAGGUGCACAGCUCUGGGGUGUCCCCAGUGGUCCGGGUAAAUCAGCAGUGAGUGAGUGUGACCACGAGGGAGAACACAUGAGCCGCAGGACCCUGGAUGACAACAAGCCCGUGUCACGAGACCGAACCGCGCUCUCCACAGCCCUUCUUCCAACAGCAGGGUUCCAGGGCCGAGUGCGGGAAGUGCUGGCACGGGGAGCACCGAGGACUCGGCCAGGGCUGGGCGCCAGUCGACGGAUUCCCAAUAUUGUCUUCCAGUUGCUAGACUACGCUGCUUUCCAGUACAUUAUUUGGCAUGUAAAAACUCAAAUGAUGGCUCCACUUGUGUGGUGUAAGAGUGACUCAGAGUGCCUUGGAAGCCACCUCCAAAGCACUGACGAGGCAGCAUGUGCACCGAGCUCUACACUCUCAUCUCCUAACGAACAGUGAGACCAACGGCCGCUGAUGUAGACGAACACAGAGGAGACGUAGUCCUGGAUGUAGAGAGGGAAGCUCUCCCUUCCGUUGACCUCAACAGAGGUGGUUUUAGGGUGAAGACUCCACUUUCUCUUCUCUAAAGAGUGGGUCCAGCUGCCACAGGAGACUUUAGAACAUCUGUCCCCACUUGGAGGUCAGCAUCCCCAUAGGGUCCAAAGAGCUGGCUCAAGUGCAAUUCACAGCCUUUCUCUUACCUGCUUCCCCAAGAGCACAACCUGUGUCAGCCCUCCGGUGUGAAGUCAUCUCCCUGUUCCUGCUACUUACCCAAACGCCAGUUACUUGCCGUCCAUUCUGUAGCCUCUUUUAUCCAACUUUGGCAUAGUCAUGUCAUCUUAUAAUCUAAAUGAUCUUUUCCCUGCAUAUGAAGUCUUUGAAGAUGGGACCCUAAACAGAGUUCAUCUUUUUGCCCUCGCUGGCCUCAUCACCGGUGCUCUCGGCCCAUUCAGCUACAGCCACGCUGGCCACCCUGCUGAUGCUUGAACGCCCCAGACACAUACCCCGCACAGAGACUUGGCACAUGCUGUUCCCUCUGCCUGCGACACUCUUUCCUGGGUCAUCCACGUGGCUCCCUCAGUCCCUUCCUUCAGGUCUGUACCGCAUGCCUGCUAAUCAGUAAGGUCUUCCCGACAUCGUCCUCCCCGAACUCUUCUAUGUGUGUCUCCCUUUCACACGUGUCUCCCCUGAGCUUUGAUCCCACCUAAACAGCACACACUACUUGUCUUCUUCCGUAUCUGCCUCCCCACUGGAAUGCCAGCCCCACAUGGGCAGGGCUUUUUGACACUUUUGUCCGCUGUCACAGCCCAGUGCCAGAAACAGUGCUCUGCGUCCGCACUCCACGCCGUUCAUGGAGUGUGUGCUGCACGCCAAGCACUGGUCUGGGCUCUGGAUAUUUUUGCAAAAGUUUCUCCAGUGCUUGAGGAAUUCAUUCGACUUUAAGGAACUAAACGUAGGAAAGCGGGGUCAUGCGAGAGGAAAGACAGAGCCUCCUAUGAUUGAGGAACGCAGGUGUACGCUCCGCUGGGGCCAACUCGUCCUGCCUGGAGGAAAUGCAUCUGAAAUGUUGUCACCCUCCCCUGGUUGUGAACAGAGCUGUUUAACUGUUGGGGUCGUGGGCGAGGCAGCGCAUGCAGGCAGGCGGCCAUUACACAGGCUUUCCAGAGAGAGCUGGAAAGCUGAUGCCCAAGCCACAGGAAGAGGGACGGCCGCCUGCAGCCAACAGCCUGCCUGGAAAGUCUGCGUAAGGGACACCUGGAGGAAGCAGGGGCUCCAUCGCCUCCUCCGCCGGCUGUAACCCUGUCCUUCUCGCUCAGCCCAUCCGUCGGGGGUGCUCCCGGCUUCCCACCCCAGAGAUGCCGCUCCUGGACGCGCUCCUGGACGCUCACCACAUCCCUCGAGUUGGAAAGCUCUCCGAUUUCUCCCAACAAAUCAGAACUUCUUUUCUUUCAUCUCGUUUGAAAAGCCUUUUGUGAGAUUGCUAGUGACCCAAAUGUAACCUCUCUAUUCCUGUCUGAAGGGAAAAUAUUUCCAGAUUAGAGGGAGCGUUCUGCGGUGCCAAGACCAGGCAUAUAUGAAUACUUGAUUAUGCCUCCGAAACCCGGCCUCCCAAACACGCGCCAGUCACAGUGUCAGAAACGAACCGUAAGCAAGCAAAGAAACUGUGAAUCAAGGGGUUUAUUAUUUUCCCCUAUUAAGUAUUUUGAAACCAAAGUUUCCACAUUUUUAAGGGUUUGAUGUCAUAAAAUUCCCAUGUAUGACAGCAUUUUGAAAAACAGAGUCAUUGUGUGCGGGUGGAAUGUGAGAGGUUUAGUGUACAAGUUAGAAAAUAAAUCCCUAAGCUCGCAAUUUGAGAUGCAUAGACAGGGGGCCACUGAGCUGUAGCCUUUGCUACAAUGGCUUCACGUGAUGUUGAGACUGUCCCGGAAAAAUUCUUCGUCUUCUGAGGAGCCCCAGGACCUCCAGCCAGCUGUUGUUACUCCAAGUGCAAUGUAAGCGGGUUUCUAUUUAAAACUUUCGCACCUGGUACUUGAAUAUUCCUUGUUUUCCGAAGGGUACCCUCUUUCCCUCAGAUUCUUUUCCACCUUCCCUUUUCCGUGCUAGUCUGGUUCAACCCGACCUGCUGGCAUGAAGAGAAAGACACUUAUAAAAGGAGCUGGGAAGUUGUGGUCUUUUCCUUUGCAGCUGAAACUAGGCUCAGAUGGAGAGAAGACAGCCCCAGAAACAGUGCUGGGGGGUGACUGGGGACAGGGGCCUGGGAGAUGGGGAGGAAAGAGUGUUCCCUUGCCUUUAUGUUAAAGAUUAGGCAAAAGCAGACACUCAACACCUUAUGCCUUCACAGUCUGCGCUGGGGAGGCCCUUGGAUGCCCCCUGGGUCCCAGGGCGCCUACUCUAAAUAAACUCCAGGUCUGUCAGCAUCGGUUGCCUCUGGGAGGGGUAGGAGACUCAAGAGAAGAGGAAAGAGAACUUAGAAGGGAGAUAAGAGAGGGUGCAAAUGGGCAAACGGAGGGCUAUGCAGCAAAAGCGAUCCAAGGAAGAGACUGAGAGUAAGCUGGGUGUCAGCAAACAAGCCUGAGGUUUGAUGGUUUGUAUUAUUACCCUCAAGGUCAAAAUCUUCCUUGCAUUAAUUUGGAGUGAGUAGUGGUGAGGCUCAGAUAGGCAACGACUGGGGCUUUAAGACUCGGGUUUUUCCUCCAUUUCCCCGGUUGUGUAAAACUUCUCACUUCUGAUCUCCGGAGAGUCCUCCUCCUCUUCCUCCUCCUCCUCUUUCUCCCGGGCACAGCCAGUCUCAGAGGGAUGGGAGCCUCAGGGACAGGAGUGCUGGAGCAGGCCUGUGGUAGUUGGCCAGGAACAAGGCAUUGCUUGUGUGUAGAGGCUUUUCCAAGGCGGUUUCACAGAUACGGGGACCUCGGACAGAGAGGAACAGAGAAAUUCCAGAGAUUUUUCACGUGCAAGCGGAUAUUUCCUUUGAGAGUUUCUAGACUAAAUAAUACUCCUUGUGUCUAAGGGACGGUGUAUACUGCUGACCGGGCAAUGUUCUGUGUGCACAGGGUGAGCGUCAGAGCCCCGCGCGGCCUGGAAGGAGAUGUGAGCAGAGGAAGGUGAAGUUGCCUGAGAAAAUGUCUUUCCUGGAAGAAUACUGGUGCUGUUCUCUGUCCGCCUGACAUGACGUCCAUGUCAAAUAUGGAGGACGAAUUUGUUGGCAGACCUUGGGGAUGAAAUGGGCUAGACUUCUAAGAAUAAAUGUACCUGGCCUCUCUAUUAACCAUUUCCAUACAUAUAUAUUAAUAGACUUUAUUUUUUAGAGCAGUUUUAGGUUCACAGCAAAGUUGAGUGGAAUGUACAGAGAUUUCCCAGAACCCCCUGCUACCCCACAUGUCAGCCUCCCUCACUAUCAACAUCCCCCAGCAAAGUGGGAUGUCUGACAUUGAUGAACCUACAUGACACGUCAUUAUCACCCAAAGUCCAUCUUCACAUUGGGGUUCACUCUUGGCGUUGGAACAUACCAUGGAUUUUGACAAAUGGAGAAUGGCGUGUGUCCACCAUCGUAUUGUCACACACAAUAGUUCCACUGCCCUAAAAAUCCUCUGUGCCCCCCAUAUUCAUUCCUCCCGCCCCGCUAACCCCUGGCAGCCACUGAACUUUUACUUUCUCCAUAGUUUUGCCUUUUCCAGAAUGUCAUGUAGUUGGAAUCGUACAGCGUGUGGUCUUUCCAGAUUGGUUUCUUUCACUUAGCAGCGCAUUUAAGUUUCCUCCAUGUUUUUCAUGGUUUGAUGGUUCAUUUCUUUUUGGUGAUAAGUAAUAUUCCAUUGUCUAGAUGGAGCCAUUUUCAUAGAUGUAUUUUGGAAGCCAGAUUUUUAAUAAGGUAAUAUAAUUUAUUAAUUAGUAUAAUAAAAUCUAUGAUAAGAUAAAGGCAAUAUUUGACUUAAAUAGAGCAACCUCUAUAUCAACCCUAUUAAUAUGAAGGCUAUUAUCCUUCUGGUUGUAAUAAGUAAACUGAAGCACAGAGAGAAUCUGACUUACACACAGGAAAGAAUAGAAGAGUCUAGAAUCCCAGCCAUUUGCUCUAUCGCAUGUAAAGUCUGAAGUUUAUAUGUGUGGGGAGGGGAGGACUACUUGAGGACACUCAUUUCCAGCUCCUCAGGUUUCCUGUGAAGGAAAUUCCUUAGAGUGACGCUCCUUGCCUCCACUCUCCCCCGAGCACUUCCUCCUUCACCCAUUCCUCUCUCAAGGGAGGAGGAGCCACUUUCCCAACUGGACAGAUGGGGAGAGACUGGGCGUGCCCAGAGUAUCGCCCCUCUCCUCUCUGGGGUUGUCCUGCCUUAGAGAACACCCUGGUCGGCUGCCCGGCUCUCAACCAGACAGGGGAAAUCAGCAUGUCUGACUCAGGAACACAACAUCCAUGAGGCCACUCGCCCACAGACCUAAGCCAUGUCCCACAAACAGCUUUAUAAAGAUAGUAACACUCGCUUACCAAUCUCCAUUUUCUCCACCUCCUGCAUCUGAUUGGUUAUCCUGAUCUAAGUGGGGAAGACAUUCCUUCCCAAAGCUAAUAAUGUCAUCACAAAUAGAUUUUAAAAGGCUGUCAUCACAUUAUCAGCCAGAUUCUUUCUGGUGCCAAGGUGUCUCUACCAUCACCAAGUCUGGUAACUCUGAAGCUAUUUUAGGCCUGAAGGACAAGAUUUAGUGAACUGACAGAGUAACUUAGAUUAAAAGCACUGGACUGGCCUGAAAGUGUAGCCAGCCCACUUUCAGAGAAUCAUUUGACCCCUUAGAGAAAUCUGACUGAAAAACUAAUUUUAGACCAGAAAUUCAACCACCUACAGCCUAUACAACAAUUCUAUCUGGAAAGGUCAACACAGAACCAACUGCAUUGAUCUCACUUGUAAGUAGAAGAUAAAAACAACGACAAACAAACGCAUAGCAUUGGAGAUUGGAUUGGUGGUUACCAUAGGGGAAGCGGGGGAGGGCAAAAGGGGUGAUUAGGCUCACGUGUGUGGUGAUGGACUAUAAUUAGUUUUUGGGUGGUGAACAUGAUGUAAUCUACACAGAAUUCGAAAUACAUUACGCUGUACAUCUGAAAGCUAUAUAUUGUUAUAAUCCAAUGUUACUGCAAUUAAAAAAACAAUAAUUAAGAAAAAGAACCAAAUGCAAACUAAAAUCUCCAUGAAAGAAUAACAGAUAUUAAGGCGAUAACAAUUUCUUAUCAGGUGUUGCAAAGAACCUCCCUCUCCUGUCCUCCUGGUUUGACACACAUUUUUCUGCCUUGAAGUUCGUCCCAGAACAUCCAGGUCACUUUGUAACAUUUGAAUUUCCUUGAGCCAAGGUUGAAGUACUUCCACAACUUACUGACAGUGAUAGUAAAAAAGUGUAAUGUUUAUGUGUGUGACUGUCUAGGGCCUACCCAAGAAUCAGGAUGAGCCCCUUGAGACGGAAGCUGAUUUGCCUACAGAUAGUGUAUUCUCUCCACAGCAUCCCUCAAGAGAGUCAGUUGCUGUUUGAUGAGGAGGUGGACGGUGACGAUGACAGGAAGGUUCUCCCAGGCGCGGUCACCAUCUUGGUUGAGGUGGGCUGCUCAAGGAGACAGACGCUGGCUACCGAUGCGACUGACAUGUUGACAUCCCCAGCACUUUCCUCCAUCGCCCAUCUCCACUCAGGCUGGGAGGUCCAAAUGUGCCAGGCCCAGUUCUACCCAAAGAACCAGGCGUGGAUGUCUUCUGGAGGCCCUCUGGAAGAGGUUUUGCUUUUCUUCUAUAAGAGACAGGACUAGAGAUGCCCCUUCCUCUUCUUCCUGCUUUGACUGUGGGCAUGAUUCCUGGAGCUGCAGCAGCCAUUUAUGACCACGAGGUGACCAAACAACUCUAAAGCCACUGGUAGCCUAGUGCACAAAGGCUGCUCCAGCUGCCAACCUUCUCUCCCCGGGUGUAACUAUGGCGGUCACAGGAAAUGCCCAGCAUGUCAUUAAGCCAAAGAAGACAAACUGAGCUAUUAAAACUAACUGCUGGCCUACUACCCUCAGUUAAUACAAAUGGAACAAGAUGUUAAAAAAUGAUUCCAUUUCAAUUCUGGUGAAGAUCCUGAGGCAGAGAACAAACCAGUAGGUGCCAACUACUCCUUUGUUCCAAAGUGAGGUGCUAGACCAGCUCAGCAGGGCCGGGAAAGAGCUGUCUGAGAACUGUGACCCCGUGGGUUGGGGAGUGGCAAGGCCAAAGGGAGAGACUGGAACUUCGAUGAUUUCUGCAGAGAGAGUUGUUGCAUGCUGGCGCACUUCCCCCCCCUCCAUCCCUCCCAGCCCACCCCAUGGAUGAGAGGAGGGGUCCUAGUGCGAAGGACUUGGAGGAGGCCAUUAAGAGAGCUUUGCAACACCUCAUACACACCCAGGAACUUGUGGGACCAGACAACUUGUGUAUGUCACAUGCCCAAGAAAUCUUUUUUUGAAGAUUUUAUUUUUCAUUUUUCCUUCUUUUCCCUAAAGCCCCCCAGUACAUAGUUGUAUAUUUUAGUUAUUGGUCCUUCUGGUUGUGGCAUGUGGGAUGCCGCCUCAGCAUGGCUCAAUGAGCAGUGUCAUGUCCACACCCAGGAUCCAAACCGGCGAAACCCCUGGCCACUGAAGCGGAGCGUGUGAACUUAACCACUCGGCCACGGGGCCGGCCCCCCGAGAAAUCUUAAGGGCAAGAAGCCGUAAAGGCAGAACAAGGGGAGGUGGCUGCACCAUUGAGUGCAGAGUCCCACCCCCUGGGUAAUUUCCCGUAGACCAGAUGUGGGCCGUGAAAAAGAGCUGGCCCAAGAGGGCUGCCGGGAGGAAGAGGCUGAGCAGAGAUGUUAAGGCACCAGCUGAAGACGUCCUCAUCCCCCUCAAGGGAGCCACAGGUGAGCAAUCCGCCAGCUCAUGGGGAGUCUCCAAAGAACCCCAAAGCCCCUCACAGGAGAAAAAGUCAGCUUUAAAUGUUUGCCAUGGCCAAAGGGAGCAAUGGCCAGUUACAUAGGUGCCCCCAUACUUCGCCCCCCAGAGGCCGAGGCUGCCCAGCGAGCAGGAGGGAGGAGGGUAGAGAAAACGUGGGCAAGUCAAGUGUGAGGGUGAAUCUUAUGUGUCCACUUGACUGCGCCACGGGGCGCCCAGCUACUAGGGCAAGCAUUCUGGGUGUGCCUUUGAGAGUGUUUCUGCACAGGAUUAGCAUUUGAGUCAGUAGACUGAGUGAGGCAGAUGGCCCUCCCCAAUGUGGGCCUCAUCCAAUCAGGCGAAGGCCUGGAUGGAAUAAAAGGCUGAGUGAAAAAGAGUUCUCUCUGCCUGUCUGUCUUGAAGCUGGGAUGUCCGUCUGCUCCUGCCUCUGCACUCCCUCUCGGACCGGACUGGAACUCACAGCAUCGGCUUGGGUCUCCAGCUUGCCGACCGCAGCUCGUGGACUUCUCUGCCUCCAUGAUCCUUGGAGGCCACUUCCUUGCAAUACGUAUAUAUCCUAUCGGUCCCGUUUCUCUGGAAAACCCAGACUGAUACAGAGAUGGGGCUUCGAGGAAGGCCCUUCUCCCAUUUCCCAUCACAGGUUUCCGGCUGGGAGCAGCCUGAGCUGGCUGGGAAGGAAUGUAACUUCAGUGACUCCCCGUGGCACAGAGACCCUGUAGGCCACUCGAAGUGACCAGAGCACUUUUUGCUAUCCAACAGCUGGCAGAGGUAUCGCCGGGGACCUGAGGAGAAACCAGCCCCCCAGGUAGUGAGGAACGGGCCCAGGAGAGCAAAGAAAAGAGUUUUACUCUGGUGCACCCACUAACCCCGUCUGUGCCGCACCCCGGGUUCACAUGGUGUGUGAUGCCUACGGUUGGUUUGUGUUUUUAGAUAGACCCUGAACAUUUCCCGGUCCCUUCUCCCAAACACUAAACUUUUCUCCUCCUUGGAAAUCCAUGCAGCUUCUAGAGCACAAUACUAUGUAGAAUUUAGGCCUUUGGUUUAUUAAACAUAAAAAGUAGCUUCAAGGAGCAUAGAAUUACAUGAUUCCUUUUUAAAUGUGCAUGAAAAGCAACUCCUUUCAAAGCCAUAUCAUUUCCCAUCCUGCAAGAAUCUGCUAGAAUUGGAAGAGUUGCCUCAAAUCGAGUUCCAAGCUGUGUCUCAGCCAGUGAGAAAUGAGUUGGGUCUUUGCACCAGACAGUAUGUUGAAAACCACCAGACCAGGAGUAGCUAACAAUUCUGUCUCUGCCGAAUUCCCAGGAAUACGGCGGGGGUUUCCAAGCCCAUGUGGGAAGCAUUGUCAGCCUGUGCCUGGAGGUGCAAGAAGAGGGAGAUUGGGCAAUUUCGGCUUCUUCACUCCCACUGCCUUCAUCUCACUUGGUGUUCACUCUUUCCAAGUUCUCUUGGCCCCUGUGCCAAGGCAGCCUGGAUCCAGCCAGGAUAUUUAUAGAGCUGGUACAGGACUGGGCAGCUAGUGGGAGCAGAUGUUUUCUGAUAUGGGGAAAGGGAGCUAUUUAUACUGGGAGAUGAAAAUUAGUCAGAGGGGAGGCUGCAGCCAUAGCUGAUGUUCCCGUCCUCUCAAUGCUGGGGAAGUUCUCCAGAUCCUCGGGUGAAAGUAUUUCUCACCCUCCCCGCCUAGACAGUUCAAUUCAGCAGACGCUGAUCGAGUGCCAGGCACUGGGUGGGCAUUUAGAUAAAUAAGACAAGGCCCCUCUCCUUGUUGCAGUCAGGGAGGGGAGACCUCAGGAAGCGAAUCAUCACGACAUUUUUCAUCACGGCCAGCUGAGAGUGCCACGGGAAUGCAAACUCCAACACAGUGGAGGCUGCUGGGCCUAGAGUAAGGGUGGUGGGAUGGGGAGAAGAGAAGGAGUGGUCAGGGAGGGCCACAAGGUUUGUGACCGCUAACCUGACUUGGAAGGAUGGACAGGAAAGGUGCAGGGGGAAAGGCAUCAAGGUAGUGGGAACAGAAUUCAGGAUGUGGAGGUUUUGCGGCCUGACUGAUGCCUUCUGGAAACAUCUAGGAGUCAGACACGGUCUGAGGGCAGAGGGGCUUCCUGAGGGAUUUCAGAGGAGGAGGCUGAACAGGUGAGCUGGGGCUGGGCUGUAAAGGGCCAUCGUCCACACUUUCAGGAAUGGGGCCUCACGCCUGCUUUGCCUUUAGCAGGAGAAGCCGACAAAGCUUUGUAAGGAAGGAAGCAAUUGUUAUUCCAGGGAGCGACGGAAACUAUGGAUCUGUGAGCAAGUUCCUCCUGCGUCUCCAAUGUCCUGUGGCACCAUGCCUGGCACACAGUUGGUGCCCCAUAAAUGCUUGAUGAAAGGGCAGACUCCCUGAAUUACAUCCCUGUCUUGGGGCGGCGUGCAGACCACCCAUGAGUCGAGUCCAUGCAGACUUACUGAGUGCCAGCUACAGCUGCAGGCACCGACCCCCUCCAGCCCCUUUUGGCUGGGCCAAGCCCUCCCCAAGAUUUCUCCCAAUUGUCCUUCUCCUGGCCGCUGCUCGCUGGGCAGUCCAGCCUCUGCCCUGACCCCCACCCUGAUUCUGCCUGUUGCUUUAUCUCUGCUUCAGCAUCAACCCAACAUGGGUGUAGCCUCAUUCUUUCCACUUGAAAACCGAGUAAUAAUAAUAAUAACAGCAAAAGCUCUUUCUGCCUAUUCUCAAUGAAAGUUUGGGAAAUGGAGCAAGUUUACAAAUGCAAACAACUUAAACUGAAAUAUUAGCCUUUUCCUCCUUCUUAAACAUCCUCGAGCCAUUUCUGCCAACUCGGUUCUUCACCCUCCUUCUUGCCUUGUUUCUCUCCCUCCAGCUCUUCUCUCCUCUUCUCUCCUCCCUAAUGCCCAUUCUUUUAUUUUGCAGAAGAAUUUAAGGAGUUUGGGGGUCUGGUUUUGUUUCUUUGUCUCCUUUUCUCCUAACUCUGAGGGCCUCACCUUUUACCCCUUAGCUGAGCAUUUUCCUAAAGAAAGACCUUUUGUCCCCUAGGAAGAAGGCUGGUUCUAUAAGGUCAGAUGGUCAUUUUUCCCACACCACAGCCUUACGGAGCAGCCGUGGGAUAGUCUGUACCUGGCACCAUAAAGGAGAAGAAAAAUCAGUGCUGUUCUCCAGGCAAAUGUUGGAGAAGGACAAAGAUUCUUUGCUUGACCAAACUUUUGCAGGCUCCUGAACCUUCUAGACCCAUCUGUGCCCUUACUUGUGAAAUCCAGUUUUAGCAGAAACCCUGUUAAGUCAGUUCAUCAAGAACAGCCCACCCUUGAUAUCUCAUCACCCUCAUAUCUGAUCGGGCUCCUCAUCCUCCAUCACCUCCCGGGAGAUGUCUGACCACCCUGGGCUGUCUUCAGCAAGAAAGCCAGUCGAUCAGUUUAGCCAGAAUCCCCCUUAUUCUUAGGAAUUUUCCAUUCACUCACCCCCAAACCCCUCCUUGGCUAUAAAUUCCCUUGGCCCACGCCAUAUUCGGAGUUGAGUCCAUUUUCUCUUGCCCACUGCAAGACCCCUUUGCAGUGGUCCCCGCACUGAUUGCCAUGGCCCCCCUUGAAUAAAAUCUGCCUUAC
rnacentral:lncRNA from 1 species